rnacentral:tRNA from 1 species
AUAAGAUAAGCUAAAUAAGCUGGUGGGUUCAUGCCCCGAUAAUGACAUUAUUUGUCUCUUAUU